rnacentral:tRNA from 1 species
GUUCCCGUAGUUAAAUAAAUAACGGCGGUUUUUCGGGCCGUAGGUCCCAGAGAGAGGCUGGGUGGGAAUA